ACAUCAAUGAUUACGUGACCACUGUAUAAUCUGCGUUCUGGGAGCCAGAUGAUGGAGAUUGAGGAGCACAGACUAAGUCCA